rnacentral:rRNA from 1 species
UACGUAGGUGGCAAGCGUUGUCCGGAUUUAUUGGGUUUAAAGGGUGCGUAGGCGGCCUUGUAAGUCAGUGGUGAAAUACUCCAGCUUAACUGGAGGGGUGCCAAUGAUACUGCAGGGCUUGAGUACAGAUGAGGUAGGCGGAAUUGACGGUGUAGCGGUGAAAUGCAUAGAUAUCGUCAAGAACACCUAUAGCGAAGGCAGCUUACUGGGCUGUAACUGACGCUGAGACACGAAAGUGUGGGGAUCAAACAGG